GAUGAACGCUGGCGGCGUGCCUAAUACAUGCAAGUCGAGCGAACAGAUAAGGAGCUUGCUCCUUUGACGUUAGCGGCGGACGGGUGAGUAACACGUGGGUAACCUACCUAUAAGACUGGGAUAACUUCGGGAAACCGGAGCUAAUACCGGAUAAUAUUUCGAACCGCAUGGUUCGAUAGUGAAAGAUGGUUUUGCUAUCACUUAUAGAUGGACCCGCGCCGUAUUAGCUAGUUGGUAAGGUAACGGCUUACCAAGGCGACGAUACGUAGCCGACCUGAGAGGGUGGUCGGCCACACUGGAACUGAGACACGGUCCAGACUCCUACGGGAGGCAGCAGUAGGGAAUCUUCCGCAAUGGGCGAAAGCCUGACGGAGCAACGCCGCGUGAGUGAUGAAGGUCUUCGGAUCGUAAAACUCUGUUAUUAGGGAAGAACAUACGUGUAAGUAACUGUGCACGUCUUGACGGUACCUAAUCAGAAAGCCACGGCUAACUACGU
rnacentral:rRNA from 1 species